rnacentral:lncRNA from 1 species
CUCCAUAAUUCUUCUCUUCUUCAUCCUGGAGGACACUGGUUUCAGCCUCAGAAAAAAAUGGUCUUUCUUGUCCUUGGGUUUUUUUUUUUUUUUUUUUUUUUUACAGUAGACUGAGUUGCAGAAGUGGGCCAUAUUUGUUCAUGGAGGAAGUUCAGAAAAUAUGAAAUAUGGGUAACUAAAAUAGCUAAUAAUUACAUUAGUAAUUUUUGGGGCCCUUUAUAGCUUGCUGUUCGGUGUGAGCCUAGACUUCGUGUUGAAAACCUUGACUUAUACUAGUCAACAAAAGAAACGAUAAAAUUUAUCAAAAGGUAUUAAAACAAAAUAAGAUAAACUAUCCUAAAAAGCUUUCAUUUUCAAUGUAUGCACAUUUGAUAAUGAAAAUCAAAA